rnacentral:rRNA from 1 species
UACAGAGGUCUCGAGCGUUAGGCGGAAUCACUGGGCUUAAAGCGUGUGUAGGCGGAUUGCUAAGUACCUUGUGAAAUCCCACGGCUUAACCGUGGAACUGCUUGGUAUACUGGCUGUCUUGAGCCACUUAGGGGCGACCGGAACAAACGGUGGAGCGGUGAAAUGCGUAGAUAUCGUUUGGAACGCCAAAGGUGAAAACAGGUCGCUGGGAGUGUGCUGACGCUGAGACACGAAAGCCAGGGGGAGCAAACGGG